GACGAACGCUGGCGGCGUGCUUAACACAUGCAAGUCGAACGGAAAGGCCCUGCUUUUGUGGGGUGCUCGAGUGGCGAACGGGUGAGUAACACGUGAGUAACCUGCCCUUGACUUUGGGAUAACUUCAGGAAACUGGGGCUAAUACCUGAUAGGAGCUCCUGCUGCAUGGUGGGGGUUGGAAAGUUUCGGCGGGUGGGGAUGGACUCGCGGCUUAUCAGCUUGUUGGUGGGGUAGUGGCUUACCAAGGCUUUGACGGGUAGCCGGCCUGAGAGGGUGACCGGCCACAUUGGGACUGAGAUACGGCCCAGACUCCUACGGGAGGCAGCAGGGGGGAAUAUUGCACAAUGGGCGGAAGCCUGAUGCAGCAACGCCGCGUGCGGGAUGACGGCCUUCGGGUUGUAAACCGCUUUCGCCUGUGACGAAGCGUGAGUGACGGUAAUGGGUAAAGAAGCACCGGCUAACUACGUG
rnacentral:rRNA from 1 species